CGCGGCCUAUCAGCUUGUUGGUGGGGUGAUGGCCUACCAAGGCGACGACGGGUAGCCGGCCUGAGAGGGCGACCGGCCACACUGGGACUGAGACACGGCCCAGACUCCUACGGGAGGCAGCAGUAGGGAAUCUUGCGCAAUGGGGGAAACCCUGACGCAGCGACGCCGCGUGCGGGAUGAAGGCCUUCGGGUCGUAAACCGCUUUCAGCAGGGACGAAAUUGACGGUACCUGCAGAAGAAGGCCCGGCCAACUACGUGCCAGCAGCCGCGGUGAUACGUAGGGGUCUAGCGCUGUCCGGAAUCAUUGGGCGUAAAGAGCUCGUAGGCGGUUCGAUUAGUCGGGUGUGAAAUCUCCACGCUCAACGUGGAGGGGCCACUCGAUACUGUCGUGACUCGAGUCCGGUAGGGGAGUUCGGAAUUCCCGGUGUAGCGGUGAAAUGCGCAGAUAUCGGGAGGAACACCAGUGGCGAAGGCGGAACUCUGGGCCGGAACUGACGCUGAGGAGCGAAAGCGUGGGGAGCGAACAGGAUUAGAUACCCUGGUAGUCCACGCCGUAAACGUUGGGCACUAGGUGUGGGACUCUAUCGACGGGUUCCGUGCCGUAGCUAACGCAUUAAGUGCCCCGCC
rnacentral:rRNA from 1 species